UUAAGGGUAUAGCUCAGUUGGUAGAGUGUUUGCCUCAAGUGCAGAAGGCCCUGGGUUCAAUCCCUAGCCCUGCAC
rnacentral:tRNA from 1 species